rnacentral:rRNA from 1 species
CCCUUAGAUGUUCUGGGCCGCACACGUGCUACACUGAGUGGAUCAGCGGGUCAGGUUGCGCGAAAGUGUUUCCUAAUCUUUAAAUCCGCUCGUGAUGGGGAUUGACGGUUGCAAUUUUCCGUCAUGAACGAGGAAUACCUUGUAAGCGCGGGUCAUCAUCCCGCGCUGAAUACGUCCCUGCCCUUUGUACACACCGCCCGUCGCUCCUACCGAUUGAGUGGUCCGGUGAGGCUUUGGGAUCUGAGCGGAAAGAGCGUUUCGCUGUUUCUGCCCGGAAAACUCAGUCGAACCUUAUCAUUUAGAGGAAGGAGAAGUCGUAACA